rnacentral:rRNA from 1 species
AGUGAACGCUGGCGGUAGGCCUAACACAUGCAAGUCGAGCGGCAGCACAGUAAGAGCUUGCUCUUACGGGUGGCGAGUGGCGGACGGGUGAGGAAUACAUCGGAAUCUACUUUUUCGUGGGGGAUAACGUAGGGAAACUUACGCUAAUACCGCAUACGACCUACGGGUGAAAGCAGGGGAUCUUCGGACCUUGCGCGAUUGAAUGAGCCGAUGUCGGAUUAGCUAGUUGGCGGGGUAAAGGCCCACCAAGGCGACGAUCCGUAGCUGGUCUGAGAGGAUGAUCAGCCACACUGGAACUGAGACACGGUCCAGACUCCUACGGGAGGCAGCAGUGGGGAAUAUUGGACAAUGGGCGCAAGCCUGAUCCAGCCAUACCGCGUGGGUGAAGAAGGCCUUCGGGUUGUAAAGCCCUUUUGUUGGGAAAGAAAAGCAGCGGGUUAAUACCCCGCUGUUCUGACGGUACCCAAAGAAUAAGCACCGGCUAACUUCGUG